rnacentral:rRNA from 1 species
AACGAACGCUGGCGGCAUGCCUAACACAUGCAAGUCGAACGAGACCUUUGGGUCUAGUGGCGCACGGGUGCGUAACGCGUGGGAAUCUGCCCUUGGGUUCGGAAUAACAGUGAGAAAUUGCUGCUAAUACCGGAUGAUGUCUUCGGACCAAAGAUUUAUCGCCCAGGGAUGAGCCCGCGUAGGAUUAGCUAGUUGGUGGGGUAAUGGCCUACCAAGGCGACGAUCCUUAGCUGGUCUGAGAGGAUGAUCAGCCACACUGGGACUGAGACACGGCCCAGACUCCUACGGGAGGCAGCAGUGGGGAAUAUUGGACAAUGGGCGCAAGCAUGAUCCAGCAAGGCCGGGUGAGUGAUGAAGGCCUUAGGGUUGUAAAGCUCUUUUACCAGGGAUGAUAAUGACGGUACCUGGAGAAUAAGCUCCGGCUAACUCCGUG